rnacentral:rRNA from 1 species
ACGCUCGACACCUACGGGAGGUAGCAGUGGGGAAUAUUGCACAAUGGGGGAAACCCUGAUGCAGCGACGCCGCGUGAAGGAAGAAGUAUCUCGGUAUGUAAACUUCUAUCAGCAGGGAAGAAAAUGACGGUACCUGACUAAGAAGCCCCGGCUAACUACGUGCCAGCAGCCGCGGUAAUCUGAGCGGGCUGGCAAGGC